CAUGAAUUUGUGGAACAGGUUUUUUUUAUGUAUUUUAAAACGAAAGGAAUGUUUAAUAGUUGAAAUAAUAUUGUUGCAGGUUAUAUGAUAAAAUCUUAAUAAUCUAAUACAUUGUUGAAAACAUAAAAACAUCAAACUUAUUAUAUGAUAGUAAAGUAUAAUGUUUAUACUUUAAAUUCCUGUUUUAAGCAUAUUUAUUUGAAUAUAUUCGAAAAUAAUUUAGCAUGGAAGAAUUAUUUUUGUUGCUUUAUAAUACAUUUAUUAUAUUUUCUUUUUCAGGUAACAACAGUUAACAAAACGCCAUAAAUCGAUAAUGAUUAUUAUUAUCAGUUACAUAUAAAAGGGUUCACAUUUAUAUUGUUUUCUUAUUCAAAUUUUACUCCCACAUUGUCUAAUGUAUAUGCUAAAGCAAAUAAAAUAAAUAGUACAUGUAUACUUUAUUUCCUAUCUCUCAAUAAAUUAUCAUAGCUGUUUUCAUAUGACCACUCAACUAUGUUAAAAUUAGGAAUAAUUUAUCCUAGCUCGAGGUAGAAACCAUUAUAUUUGCAAUCUAAAUAGCAAGUGCUAUUUUUUAGAUGAAAGUUGUACUGUUAUGGCAAUGCGAUUCUGCUAUAUGAAAAAAGGUUGAUGUACCUUACAAGUAUGUAUGCAUCAAAACAAAGAGAGAACCAAGGAUUGAAAGUUUGAAUAUGCAAAUAAGAUCUUGAUGUUCACUUACCUGAGAGACGAUGUUCAUUAACCUGAGAAACGAUGUUCACUAAUCUGAGAGACGAUGUUCACUUAUCUGAGAGACGAUGUUCACUAAUCUGAGAGACGAUGUUCACUCAUCUGAGAGACGAUGUUCACUAUUCUGAGAGACGAUGUUCACUUAUCUGAGAGACGAUGUUCACUAAUCUGAGAGACGAUGUUCACUCAUCUGAGAGACGAUGUUCACUCAUCUGAGAGACGAUGUUCACUUAUCUGAGAGACGAUGUUCACUCAUCUGAGAGACGAUGUUCACUCAUCUGAGAGACGAUUUUCACUUAUCUGAGAGACGAUGUUCACUAAUCUGAUAGACGAUGUUCAUUAAUCUGAGAGACGAUGUUCACUUAUCUGAGAGACGAUGUUCACUUAUCUGAGAGACGAUGUUCGCUAAUCUGAGAGACGAUGUCCACUAAUCAGAUAGACAGUGCUGGAUUACUUCUCCUCAACCUAACAGUUUUAUAAUGAUCAUAUUGGUGAAAAAAAUUAUUGAAUAGACAGUAUCUUAACAGAUACCCAUACAGUAAUUAAAAAUGCUGAUGGUUUACCAAAGCCAUUUGAUUUGCUGGUGUCUGGCAGUUAUGAUUAUUUGUCUAAUUGGAACAACAAUACCAUAUGUAGAGCAAAUAAAUACACUGGACAGAACUUUUCCACUACCGCACAAUAUAUUCGUUAUCCACUGAGAACGCAAGUACUUGUAGAUGGGUUACAACCUAAAGGAACCAAUGUUUGUGAAACAAACAACGGCGGUUGUAGCCAGAUUUGUUUUCCGUUACCGGCUUACAACAGUACAUUAUCUUGGUGCAUGUGUCCUGAUUAGUACGGAAUGACAUCCGAUAAUAAGACUUGCAGAUCUUUUGUUAAUGGUGGAUGGAGUAUAUGGUCUUCCUGGGGUGCCUACUUUUGUGGAAGACAUCAGUUUCGAACACGUAAUUGCACAAAUCCGUCACCCAUAUAUUGUGGACGGUAUUGUGAAAGAUAUUCUGCAGAGCAAAGAAACUGCAGUGUCUUCUGCUAUUCAAAUAACCUAGACGAAACAAAUGCUCUAAUGCAAAUCGUCUGUCUACAAAUAUGAUGUAUUAUUCAGAACCUGAUUGAAAAUGGUCAUAUCGUCAGUAUAAAGAAUAUGUAAAACGUUCACUUUGCUGUAACACCAAAUGCUAUCGAAUUGAAAACAAAUACAAUAAGAAUGAAUUUCCUUGCGAUCUUUCUAGCUGUGUUCUAAAAUGGAACUUACAUGACUGUCAAACUAUAAUAUUGAAGCAACGAUUAGGAAAUCUCAUGUAUGUGAUCGCCUUUUAAGAAUAGAUAAAAAUGCCAAUAUACCUACAUCUCAAAUGAACAGAUUUUUCCUUCCUGAUAUGUGUAUGGUUGCUUUAUAUUUUUUAAAAACCAUUACUGCACUUGUAAAUCAAUUUUGAUCUAAAACGGUCAUUUUGAUCGGAACAGCUCUGGACAAUACCUAAUUAGGUAAUUUUUAGUCUUUCAGUCAUUUUGCAGACUUAGUAACUGCGGCCAAUCUAAUACUGUUCAGACAAUUCGCUUGCAUAUAGAUAAGAUCUGUUCAAUCUGUGUUCAGACUGGUCAAUAGUUUUCAUUUAUCUAUAAGUAUCAUCAUUAUACGGAAUUGUCUGAUAAGCUACUGCAUAGUACGAAAUUCACUGCUAGCGAAUUGUCUUAGCAGGCUUAUAAUUGUGUACGCAAGACGUGCAUUUUGUCUACAUGCGACUCACUGGUUGCUAUGGAAUAAAGCAAUUGGGAGGUCAAACGAAUAACAAAAUCUAUAAUAAGCGAGAAAUAACAAAUCCAAAACAACAUGAACAACUCACCAAUUCUGAUUGAAACAAUCUAUGCUUAAGGGAAAGAAACAUCACUAUUUCGAUUGAUUUGAAAAUCUUUUGAAUUUGGGAACAGUUAAGGUUCAAACAAACUGUACACAACAAAUGAUCCGUAAAUGUAAUUUAAUGUCAGCACAUGAGUGAAGGCUACUGGGUUUGUGAUACAUUGAUGUAUCCCCGGGAAUGAAACGUCAACCAAUAGGCAGUUAGUGACACAACAAAUAUAUAGUAAGUGUAUGUAAACAAAUAACCGACUAAAUCAUCACGUUAGACAAUAGUUAACUUUACGGUAUGAGUUGUACUCAUUGUUGAAGGCCGAACAAAACACAAAACUUACUAAAAUCCGCGUCUUUUAGACUCUGAUGGAUAUCAACAAUUAUGAAACAACUCUUUAUCUUAUAAUGAAAUUUGUGCCUUAAUGAACUUUAAAGCUAAUGCAUUGUGUCUUUUUUCCGUGGGUAUUGUUUUUGCAAUGUACAAACAAAAAACAAAACACCUCCUAUUUACUAUCUACGCUACUUUAGGUGAAGAUUUUAAAAUUUAAAUUGAAACGCGAUAACAAAGGAAUAUUCAAACCUAUUAAAAAAAAUACAUGACAAAAACGACAAAAUAUCAAAAGACAAACAACAGUCAACAACGCACAAUAUAAGCUACGUGAAAUAUAUAUCAAUUGAACAGCAAUCAAACUGACACAAAAACCGAGAGGACAUUCAGAUAUUAAACAAAUAUCAACACAAAUAGUUUACCAGUAGAGAUUCGAAUUCAUCGUUUCCCAUUAGGAUAGUUACACUGCAUUUAUGUUCAAAUUGUAAAGUUCUCUUCUGAUGUCAUUUGUAUAAACAUAAUAUAUUAUUUCUGAUUUUAAUUUUUUUGUCCCGAGUUUUGCUUGGUUGCUUACUAAAUGUUCUAUCGAGCUACAUGUUAAGCGACUAACAGUAGAUAUGUCAACCAUUUCGGUCGAUUUACAUUUGUGUAUCCUUGCACUUUGAAUGAGAUCACUGCUGUUUAAUAUUAUAUUUAAUUCUAUUAUGAUUCGGCAAUGGUAUACCUUUACUGUUUGUACAUACAAAAUAUACAUGGUGCUUAAAUAGCUAGGGAAGCAAAUUUUAAAUUAUUUGAACAACAAUUACUGACAAGACUUCGUUGUGCCUUUAAAAGACCGUUGCUAGCUUUCUCAAGAAAUAGUUACAUUAUUUUUUUGGAUAAUUUACGAAUUGAAUUUAGUUGAAAUAUAAUUUAAAUGUUUUCUACGUCAUAUUCUUCUAAAAUCGUGCAAUGACUACACAGAAUUGUUGUAUUUAAUAUUUUUGCACUUAUGUUUGGUCUUUACAACCCACGUAGAUUUUUUAAAGGUAAUAUUAAACCAGUUUUUAACUAGUUGUCUAUAAUAUAAAGUUUCAACAUUCGCAUUGCUUUAAAUUAUGUCAACACGUAAUCAUAACGAUUCAUCUUUGCUGAAUAGGAUAUAGGACUGACCAGCAAGAUUUUAAAAUAAUAUUAUUAGUAUUUUUAGGGUGUUGAUCAAUCAUAUUACCAAUACAAAUAUUUGAAUAAUUUUGACAUAAAUUUUUUUCUAGUUUUAUAUCCUCGAAAUAUAAGGUAAAUGUGCACAUUCAAUUUCAGUAGUGUUUGCUUAUGUACUUAUUUAACAUCAUUAUCAUAAAAAAAAAAACUCAUUUGCAAUAACAUCUUAAGCCAUAUCGCAUUUAACAUUAACUGUCAUUCUGUUCAUUCGUUUUAAUUCUUUAAGAAUGUUAAUACAAUUUAUGAAAACGUUAUCAUCGUUAUGGUUUGGUUACAUGUACACAUCUAACAUAUUGUAUACUGAAAAAUACGCAUUGACCGUAUGAGAUGGUUUUUCGAGAAAGAAAUUUUCUGAAGAAACAAUCAUUUUUUUUUUAGAACUCAAAGCGUUAAAAAUGUUAAAACUAACAGACCGUGCAGACCACACGACUGGCAGAGAUAUGUUCGAAUUUUCUUAUACAAACAUUAAGUUUUAUAGAAACAUGCAAAUGCAAUUAAAGGAUCCAGGAUAAACAUCCCUCAAUCGAAAAAACGAAUGAAACACAGUUUAUGUAUAAACACACGUCUGCUAUGAAAAAAUGUAUUUGUUUUAGAUUACUUGUCUAAGUUAUAAAAUUUCUUGUUUUAAUUUUCGGACGACAUUUAUCGAAACGUAUAUGCAAUCCUUUUAAUUUAUUUUUCUGGUUACUUGGGCCCUUGAGAUCACCCCCCAUUUAUGGUUGGAUUCAUUUUGCUCUCUCUUUAGUACACAAAAUACAACAUUGAAAGAUAAAGCCUGAGCAACACGAACUCCACCAAAAACCGGGUUUUUUGUUGUUAAUAAAACUCACCAAAGACACAAAUCGUAUAAUAAAAUUUGGUACACCAGAAGCGCAUAUCGUCUACAUAAGAUUUGUCAGUAGCACUGUAAACAAAACAAGUGAAGGCCACAUCAAAUACAUAGCCCUGGAACAUUAAAAAAAACAUCAAGAAGUUUUGAAUAAAAAUGGCUAAGCAAUCUACGGAUUGGAAUAGAAGAACAAUAUUGAUUCGAUUUAUUCAUCAAUCGUUUAUUUUGUUGAAAUAAAUAUCGUUCAAAUACUUUCAAAUUACACUAUAUAUACCCUCAUUAUUUACCAAUCCUGAUAAAAGGUAUAUUAAACAAAAUCCUACUAAAGGAAACGUUAUUUAGGAAUGUGCCAUUCAAAUGAAUCAUAUCAACUCUCCUCACGAUUUCACAUUACCUUGCACGCAUUAUGAAGGAAUGUAUAUCGAGAGGAGUGAAAAUCAUAUCGUUCGUCUGUCUUGCGAAAUAUAAAUACAGAUGGUACACUAUUCAUCUCUACUUGUUUACUUAUCCCGUCAUGUAAUUCCUCAAAUAGUCCACUCAAACUAUAAACUGUCACUAAAUUGUUCAAUUGAUAAAGGAGGAGUUUUAUUGAAUCAGUUUAUCAUAUGUAUUGGCAGAAAUAUGGAAAGAAGACUAAAAAAGUAGGCUAAACGAUUCCUACAUUACAUAUUAUUCCUCGACAGUUUAUACAAAACAAACGAUGAUUGAGGUUUAGGAAUGCCAAGUUACUUGCUUUUCAAAGCAAUGUCAUAUCGAUCUAACAGUAUCAAUAAUCGAGGUGUUAUUGAACAAAACAAUGAUCCGUAUUCACAUAUGUCGGUAUUUAUCCAUUUCCUAGUAUUUUCGAACGUAUUAAACAGGGUUUUGUUCCCUAUAAGGGCAUACAGUAGGCUACUAAUGAAAACACUUUGUUCAAAUUAAAAUAUCGUAGAAGUAGAUCUGUCGGUCAUUAAGUAAAACAUUAAUAGUUUAUGAUUGUUGUUCGAACGAUUAUAACGGUGUUCAAUGUUAUCUUUAAUUAUAUCAAAAUUUGUCAAAUUGAAUGUACCCUUUAACUGCUUUUACUUUUAAUGUAUUUUGAAAAUUAAGGCAAUUUUUUAUAAAAAGUAAAGUAACUAAAAUACCGAACUCCAAAGAAAACUCAAAACGGAAUGGAUUUUACCGUCUGCUUUUUAAUAUAUACAUUAAAAUAAUUUUUUAAAUCUAACCUUUUAAAGAUGUUUGCUCACUUUCAUAAUAAAUAACAUUUCGCAAAUAUAAUUCUUUUGAACAAAAUUAAAUGUUUUCCACGUCAUAUUCUUUUCAAACCAAAAUGAAUGGUUUAAUUUUCGCUUUCAAUUUUUACAACAGAUUCUAAUGCUUAGGCGUCUUUACAAACACAGUAGAAUUUUACCGGGUUUAUCCGAAUUGUUUCAUUUCCAAAAUUAAAAACAUUCACAUUGCACCUGUUGCAUUUAGAGUAUGACAACAGUUUUUGUGAACGAAGAGUGUUUUUAAAGAUACAUAUUUGCUGUAUAUAUUUUGCAUAAAUAGCUAUGAAGUUGAAGUCCAAUCAACUUGAAACUUAAUACACAUGUUCCCUAUGAUAUGAUCUUUUUAUUUUAAUGUCAAAUUCGAGUUUUAACCCCAGUUUCACGGUCCACAGAACAUAGAAAAUGAUAGUGCGAGUGGGGCAUCCUCGUACUAUGGACACAUUCUUGUUUUUUUUUUAUAAUUUACGAAUUGAAUUUAGUUGAAAUAUAAUUUAAAUGUUUCCUACGUCAUUUUCUUCUCAAAUCGUACAAUCACUACACAGAAUUGUUGUAUUUAAUUUUUAUGCACUUACGUUUGAACGUCUUUACAAUUAACGUAGAUUUUUAAAAGGUAAUAUUAUACCAGUUUUAAACUAGUUGUCUAUAAUAUAAAGUUUCAACAUUCGCAUUGCUUUAAAGUACGUCAACAAGUAAUUAUAACGAAGUGUACACCUAAAGAUUCAUCUUUGCUGAAUAGGAUAUAGGACUGACCAGUAAGAUUUUAAAAUAAUAUUAACGGUAUUUUUAUCAUGUUGAUUAAUCAUAUUACCAAUAUAAAUAUUUGAAAAAUUAUGACAUACAUUUUUUGUAGUUUUAUAUCCUCGAAAUAUAAGGUAAAUGUGCACUUAUUGUUAAGUUAACAGAUUGAUAAGUAAGACUGUUUAGAAUUAUAUUAUUGAUAUUGUUAACAUCUUUGUCAUCCAUAUUUCAUCUACAAAUAUUUACAUCAUUUUGACAAAUAUUUAUUGUAAAUUAAAUAAAUCCCAACUUGAGGCAAAUGUGCAUAGUCAAUGUUGUUUUUAUGAGUAUUUGCCUUUGUACUGAUAUAGUACAUUUUAAUAAAUUGUAA